rnacentral:tRNA from 1 species
UGGGGAUAUAGCUCAGUGGUAGAGCAGUGCUUUUGCACGGCAAAGGUCAGCGGUUCGACUCCGCUUAUCUCCAA